rnacentral:rRNA from 1 species
GACGAACGCUGGCGGCGUGCUUAACACAUGCAAGUCGAACGGAAAGGCUCCAGCUUGCUGGAGUACUCGAGUGGCGAACGGGUGAGUAACACGUGGGUAAUCUGCCCUGCACUCUGGGAUAAGCCUGGGAAACUGGGUCUAAUACUGGAUAUGACCUUUCUCCUUAUGGGGUUUGGUGGAAAGUUUUUCGGUGUAGGAUGAGCCCGCGGCCUAUCAGCUUGUUGGUGGGGUGAUGGCUUACCAAGGCGACGACGGGUAGCCGGUCUGAGAGGGUGAUCGGCCACAUUGGGACUGAGAUACGGCCCAGACUCCUACGGGAGGCAGCAGUGGGGAAUAUUGCACAAUGGGCGGAAGCCUGAUGCAGCGACGCCGCGUGAGGGAUGACGGCCUUCGGGUUGUAAACCUCUUUCAGCAGGGACGAAGCGUAAGUGACGGUACCUGCAGAAGAAGCACCGGCUAACUAUGUG